GACGAACGCUGGCGGCGUGCCUAAUACAUGCAAGUCGAACGCAGUGGGGACGGGGGAGUAACACGUGGGUAACCUCCCAUCAGAGGGGAUAACACUUGGAUACAGGUGCUAAACCGAUACUGAUGGAUGGACCCGCGGUGGAUUAGCUAGUGGGUGAGGUAACGGCGCACCAAGGCCACGAUGCAUAGCCGGCCUGAGAGGGGGACCGGCCACACUGGAACUGAGACACGGCCCAGACGCCUACGGGAGGCAGCAGGAGGGAAUCUUCGACAAUGGACGCAAGUCUGACCGAGCAAUGCCGCGUGAGUGAAGAAGGUUUUCGGAUCGUAAAACUCUGUUGUUAGAGAAGCGGUAUCUAACCAGAAAGCCACGGCUAACUACGUGCCAGCAGCCGCGGUAAUUC
rnacentral:rRNA from 1 species